AAUUAAAUUUGCCUGCGCAGUGAUAAGCAUUUAAAAGCUAUUGGAGUGGUUCGAUUGCGCUUCAGCUUUACGUCAAGUCUUAUCUGGCCGCAAAUUAUACCUUUCUGAAAGGCGCUUAUACAGUCAAUCGUCUGAUAAUGCUGACGUACCGGCGUUCGCGGAAGAAACGUGUCUGUGUUAUUUUAAUUAUAGAAUACAAAUAAUUAUGGGAUAAUAAAGUGAUCAGCCUAAAUUAACUAAACAUCAUGCCAAUGAUCCGGAAGCUUCUAUUAAAACUGUGUACAAGGGGAAAAGCCGGCGAACAGUAGGCCUACAUGUCACCGAGAAGUGGGGCAGUAGGCAAAAGCUUGGAACGCAAUCACAAGAACUUGCAGAAGUUCAGAUUGAGAAUGAGAAACCAGAAACAAACUUAAUUGCUAACUGUACUACAAAUAGCAGUUCAGUAUCAGACGUAGAUACUUCGGUUACAUUUGAUGAAAAUAUAAGAUACGAUACUGAAAAGGCCAAACGUCUUGAAGAAUGGAAAAGUAUAUCUCCAGAAAUUAUGUCUGCUUAUGUACAAAUGCAGACACCCAAUAAGCGACAAUGUGCUGAUUGUUGUCUCUCCACAGAUGAACUGUACAGGUGUUGUGAUUGCUGUUCAUGGGAGACUACGUGCCUCACAUGCUUGCGGUUGAGGCAUAAACAUCCUCAUCUGCAUUUGGAAGAACAUGGCUUACCUUUCUUUCAUUGAUGAUGAUGAGGCUUGGAAAUUGAAUGACCAUUCCUGUAGCACUACUUACCUGAAAAAACUCGUGGUCGUGGAUGAUAAAGGUCAAAGAUUUGUACAAAGUGCUUGUAGGAGGAACAGCCGAUGAAUUUCGACAUUUUAUCUACCAAAUGGAAAACAUCCACGAUGAUGGAUCCAAAUGUCCAGCUUGUUAUGAGGAUUCUCCCUCCCUGAUAAGCUUGCUAGAGCAGAGGAUAUAGAAAAAAAAGCAAGGAGGCUCUUCAAGAAAUUUUGGAACCUUUUGCAGGAGUAACAACUGAAUGUCUACAGGAAUGGAUAGAUUAUGAGCGGGUUGUGUGUAUCCGCAGCAAAUCAACUGAAAAUCACUCCUUGUCACCUGCUGAAGAGUAUUGUCUAGUCCUGGAGGAGCUAACAAAAUACAGGGGUGUGUUUGCGACGGAUGUAAACAAAGAUAAGAAAAGGCUAGAGACAAAACUGAAAAAGAAAGGGAAGAAGGCUGGUGUCAAAUGGGACUCAACAAAUGUUGAUUACCUGCGGACACUCAAGACUGCACAAGAGAAACUAAGACUUCAGAUACUGGAGACCCUUCAACAGACCACUGCAGAGAGGCUGUUUUUGUUAGAUUUAAUGAAAAAGUAU